CAGUCGCCGCGGUAAUACGAAGGGGGCUAGCGUUGUUCGGAAUCACUGGGCGUAAAGGGUGCGUAGGCGGAUCCUUAAGUCAGGGGUGAAAUCCCGAGGCUCAACCUCGGAACUGCCUUUGAUACUGGGGAUCUUGAGUCCGGAAGAGGUGAGUGGAACUGCGAGUGUAGAGGUGAAAUUCGUAGAUAUUCGCAAGAACACCGGUGGCGAAGGCGACUGACUGGACAAGUAUUGACGCUGAGGUGCGAAAGCGUGGGGAGCAAACAGGAUUAGAUACCCCUGUAGUCCCUGUCUCUUAUAA
rnacentral:rRNA from 1 species